rnacentral:lncRNA from 1 species
UAAAAAUGACAUAACAUAACAAAAUAUAAUAAAUAUUAAAAUGUAGGAAAUCAGUCGUGUAAUAGGGCCCAAUCGACCCAGGCCCUACAAAUAAUAAAACAAACACAACAAAAGCAAUAGCAGGCCUAAUAUCGGGCCCAAUAGCCAAUUUCAACCCUAACUCAGCAAAAACAUUUGUUGAAACCCUAAGAGCCCCCAUAUGUCCUAG